UAGUCUACGCCGUAAACGAUGGAUACUAGCUGUGUGGAUUUCGGUCUGCGUGGCUAAGCGAAAGUGAUAAGUAUCCCACCUGGGGAGUACGUUCGCAAGAAUGAAACUCAAAGGAAUUGACGGGGGCCCGCACAAGCGGUGGAGCAUGUGGUUUAAUUCGAUGAUACGCGAGGAACCUUACCAGGGCUUAAAUGUAGUCUGACAGGCUUAGAGAUAGGCUUUUCUUCGGACAGAUUACAAGGUGCUGCAUGGUUGUCGUCAGCUCGUGUCGUGAGGUGUCAGGUUAAGUCCUAUAACGAGCGCAACCCCUGUCGUUAGUUGCCAGCACGUAAUGGUGGGAACUCUAGCGAGACUGCCGGUGCAAACCGAGAGGAAGGUGGGGAUGACGUCAAAUCAUCACGGGCCCUUACGUCCUGGGGCCACACACGUGCUACAAUGGCCGGGUACAGAGAGCAGCCACCUCGCGAGAGGGGCGCGAAUCUUCAAAGCCGGGUCACAGUUCGGGA
rnacentral:rRNA from 1 species